GUGGGACUGGUUACGUGGGGAUUCUGGGCUCCAAGGACAACCCUUCCGAGAGACGGGAAGUGGAAGCCGCCGGCCAGAGCCGGCACCGUGUUGGGGUCGCAGACCCUACCCCCUGCUGCGAGGACCGAGGAAGGCUUUGUGGGUCCCUUGUGGACCCCGCGCUGCACCACAUGACCAGGUGGCAGGACCCAGCACUCGGAGCUGGAGGGACCCCGCGAUGGAUAAACCCCAGCCCUGCUUUCCGAGAGCCCCCGGCCUUGCCGGGCAGAAGAGUGUUUGUGGGCCGACCACAGGAUCACACCCGGAGUGCGUCAUCCUGUGCGGGGCCUGGCGGUCUGUGGUGGGAACCCCGUGGAGAAUGAAGCGUCUGUCCUCCCUCUGGGGAAGCUGGGCUCCCCACGCCUGUGUGGUCGGCCGGGGUGGACUGAACCUCCCGCCUUCCCACGUGUCAAGGGCAUGGCCGCGAGCCGCCUCCCGUGUGCGAGGCAGAGACGAGGUUCUGCGGCAGAGGAGGCUGGAGCCUCGGGGCGCCGCGGAGGUCAGCGUGUGACAGCGGCCGGUGCCGUGCAGAGCAGAGGAUCAACACUGCCCGCGGUCCUGGCGGCUCCAGGAAUCCCUGGGCUCGUGGUCACAGCCCUCCAGUCUCUGCCUCUAUUCUCACAUGACCUGUGUCCCCAUGCCCCAAAUCUCACUCUCCUAUCUCUUUCAAGGAGGCUCGGCCGUGGAUUCUGUAAUCUAAUCACAUCUGCAAAGACCUAUUUCCAAAUAAGGUCGCGUUCACAGGGCGCAGGGGUGAGGACUCUUUUUAGGGGAUGCUUUUCAACUCACUGCUUCACACUGGAUAAAGGUGGCCCUACCCCCAACCACUGGUGACUUUGAAGAUGCAGGGAGGCCCCUUUGAAGACCAGUGGAGCCUGGCAGGAAGCCGCCACAGGCCAAGGAACAGCAGGGAUCUCUGGCCACCACAAGCUUGAGAAAGGGUCCUCCCUAGAGCCUUCAGAGGGAGCCCAGCCCCAGAAACCCCUGGAUUUUGGACUUUCGGCUUCCAGAACUGUGAGACAGUUCUGUGUUUCAAACCCCUACUUUGUGGCCAUUUGUAAUGGUGGCCCCAGGACCCUCGCACACCCUGUUGGUUCUUAUUUCUAAUAUGUUUCUAAUACAUUGCAACUGUGCACCCACCUGCUUGUUCUGUAUUUUCCUUACCAUUUGUUUCUGCCAUCUCCACCCGCAUCCUUGGCUGUGGCCCUCCCUCCAUGUCCAGAGCCAGCAGCAGGGGGCCUUCCCAGCUCCCUCUGACUCUGACUCCCGCCCCCUGUUGUAAGGAUCCCGUGAUGACACUGAGCCCAGCUUGAUAGCCCAGGAUGGUCUCUCCCUUCAAGACUCCUACUUAGCCCCACCUGCGAAGUCCGCUUUGCCCCCAGACAAGGUCACAUAGCCACAGAUUCCUUCUGGGAAUCGGGACACGGUUACCCUGUUGACCCCGUCACCAUCCUUCCCUCAGCCCACGGGGGGCCACAGUGCUCUCUCUC
rnacentral:lncRNA from 1 species